rnacentral:rRNA from 1 species
AACGAACGCUGGCGGCAGGCCUAACACAUGCAAGUCGAGCGCCCCGCAAGGGGAGCGGCGGACGGGUGAGUAACGCGUGGGAACGUACCCUUUGCUACGGAAUAGCCUCGAGAAACUGGGAGUAAUACCGUAUGUGUCCUUCGGGAGAAAGAUUUAUCGGCAAGGGAUCGGCCCGCGUUGGAUUAGGUAGUUGGUGGGGUAAUGGCCUACCAAGCCGACGAUCCAUAGCUGGUUUGAGAGGAUGAUCAGCCACACUGGGACUGAGACACGGCCCAGACUCCUACGGGAGGAAGAAGUGGGGAAUCUUAGACAAUGGGCGCAAGCCUGAUCUAGCCAUGCCGCGUGAGAGAUGAAGGCCUUAGGGUUGUAAAGCUCUUUCAGGGGGGAAGAUAAUGACUGUACCCCCAGAAGAAGCCCCGGCUAACUCCGUG